GGAAAGUGCCCAGGGGAGCCCAGGCCUGUCUGGGCAGCAGGAGGGCCUGGCACUCAGCCCAGGGACACUUGCGUGGAGAACAGAAGGAUGAGUAGGAUGGAGGAUGGGAACGAUGAGUUGGGUGGAGGAGCACCGGGAGGCGGGGUGGUCCUGGCCACUGGGCUGAGCCUGUGGAGCUGGGAGGCAGAAGAACAGGACCUGGAGGAUUACAGAGCAGAGCGGCCAGUGCAGAGGGCUGAGGGCUGGAGGAGGAGGUGGCCAGUGCCUCACAGGGGCCUUUGA
rnacentral:lncRNA from 1 species